AUAAAUAUUAUCAAGUAAGUGCCUGGAUGUUCAAGUUAGCAGUUCUUUCACCUUAAAAUAUGACCAAAUUCCCCUCCAAAAUUUCUCUGUUCAAUUUGUUUUCAGUUGCUGAUUAAACUGGAUGUGGUAAAUUCAUACACCCUAAACAACUACCAUCUUCCUUCAUCUGGUGAAUCUAAUCCUCUAAGAGAGAGUGGUGGCUGCGAAAGGAACUUACUCAACUUUGAUCUUCAACAAUCACAUAUGGGGUGUGGGGGCAUGUCAAGUAACGCUGUGUCGGGCUCCAGGCAUCUCCUCCUGGAAGGAGGGCGAGGAAGACAGGUGUGACGGAGUGUGACUGAGCUGGGUCUUGACCCGCGUGCUGAACAGGCCACCGGGAACGCUGGAAGUCAGAACC